UAGCUCUUUGGGUGUGCACAGUGUUGGAGAGAACACAAUGUUCCCUGAACUCUGCCGACGCUGAUAUGCAUGCUGACUGAAUGCUGAUCAAAGGUCUGUGGUACGAGCACACAAAUCUCAUAUUUUUAUAUCGACAAAACAAAGAACUGCUUUCUUUUUUUUUUAUUAUGCUGAUUUAUUUCAGAUGAUCCAAGUGAUGAAACCUUUAAAGCCGAAGAGUCAGAUGUGCCUGCUGAUUUGGACUGGUUAGAAGAAUUGUCUGAAGAGGAUGAUGGUGUUGACGAUGGUGACCUUGCGGUUGUAAGAAGAGGAGUUCUGCCGAGACAGCACGGAUGUUCAAGCUGAGACGAAACCUCGACCAGCUGGACUGCUUUCACCGACAGAAGGAGCAUGACGUGCUGAAAGCCAGGUCUGAACCUGGCACUGACAGACCUCUAGAGCUACAGAAGCUCCUUACCUACAUUUUGUGAACCUUUCUAGACUCCACACAAACCAGUACCAGUAGAAAAGCUUUUUUAUGAGAAUUUAAAAAAAAUACACAGGCUUUUGCCCA
ensembl:lncRNA